GGCUGCGUAGUGUAGUGGUUAUCACCCGAGAUUCUGACAUCUAUUGGAGAUUCUCGUGACCCAGGUUCGAUCCCUGGCGCGGCCU